rnacentral:rRNA from 1 species
GGUGAGUAAUGUCUGGGAAACUGCCUGAUGGAGGGGGAUAACUACUGGAAACGGUAGCUAAUACCGCAUAACGUCGCAAGACCAAAGAGGGGGACCUUCGGGCCUCUUGCCAUCGGAUGUGCCCAGAUGGGAUUAGCUAGUAGGUGGGGUAACGGCUCACCUAGGCGACGAUCCCUAGCUGGUCUGAGAGGAUGACCAGCCACACUGGAACUGAGACACGGUCCAGACUCCUACGGGAGGCAGCAGUGGGGAAUAUUGCACAAUGGGCGCAAGCCUGAUGCAGCCAUGCCGCGUGUAUGAAGAAGGCCUUCGGGUUGUAAAGUACUUUCAGCGGGGAGGAAGGGAGUAAAGUUAAUACCUUUGCUCAUUGACGUUACCCGCAGAAGAAGCACCGGCUAACUCCGUGCCAGCAGCCGCGGUAAUACGGAGGGUGCAAGCGUUAAUCGGAAUUACUGGGCGUAAAGCG